rnacentral:rRNA from 1 species
GGAUUCCCCUAGUAACGGCGAGUGAAGCGGGAAAAGCUCAAAUUUAAAAUCUGGCGGUCUACGGUCGUCCGAGUUGUAGUCUAGAGAGGUGUUUUCCGUGCCGGACCAUGCACAAGUCCCUUGGAACAGGGCGUCAUAGAGGGUGAGAAUCCCGUCCGUGGCAUGGACUCCCGGUGCUCUGUGAUGCGCCUUCGAAGAGUCGAGUUGUUUGGGAAUGCAGCUCAAAACGGGUGGUAAAUUCCAUCUAAAGCUAAAUACAGGCGAGAGACCGAUAGCGAACAAGUACCGUGAGGGAAAGAUGAAAAGCACUUUGGAAAGAGAGUUAAACAGUACGUGAAAUUGUUGAAAGGGAAACGCUUGGAGUCAGUCGCGUUUGCCGGGACUCAGCCUUGCUUUUGCUUGGUGCACUUCCUGGUACACGGGCCAGCAUCGAUUUCGAUCGCCGGAAAAAGGCUUGGGGAAGGUGGCACCUCCGGGUGUGUUAUAGCCCCUCGUUGUAUACGGUGGUUGGGAUUGAGGACCGCAGCACGCCUUUUGGUCGGGGUUCGCCCACGCCACGUGCUUAGGAUGCUGGCGUAAUGGCUUUAAACGACCCGUCUUGAAACACGGACCAAGGAGUCUAACAUGCCUGCGAGUGUUUGGGUGUAAAACCCAGGCGCGUAAUGAAAGUGAAAGGUUGGGACUCUUCGCUGAGGCACCGACGCCCGAUCCUGACGUUCUCCGACGGAUUUGAGGUAGAGCAUGUAUGUUGGGACCCGAAAGAUGGUGAACUAUGCCUGAAUAGGGGCGAAAGCCAGAGGAAACUCUGGUGGAGGCUCGUAGCGAUUCUGACGUGCAAAUCGAUCGUCAAAUUUGGGUAUAGGGGCGAAAGACU